GUGUCCAGGGGCGGGAAUCGAACCCACAACCUUCUGCUUACCGGGCAGGUGCCAUGUCCACUAGGCUAAUUA